CCGAGCAGGGGCGGGGAAAAUGGUCUGCGCAGCGAUGAAAGUAGGAUCCUACAAUAUUUGAGACCUUACUGCCAAUAAAGGCCACUAGGUUCUCGGGGGUAUUGUGCAGACUCUGUAGAACAGAAGAUCGACGAUACUAGAGUGUUAACGUGGGGAAAACGGGGAAUAGAUCAGAACAAGUGGGAAAUCCUCUAGGAAUUCCUACUCACCUUUAGAGUAAAGCGCUUCUGUACAGAAUCAUGGCCAUAUUAUGAACUCGAGUCAGAGGCCUUCAGGCCCCGAAAAUAACACCCUUUUGCAACUGCUUUUAUUUUAUACACAUAGCGGGAAAUGUUAAGAACAGCAAUAUGUGCAGGCCCACCAAUGAAACCUCCUCCAUAUGUAUUACCAUCAUGCCCCAAGCAGCUUCUCCUUUCCAGCAUGCUAUGGAGAACAAGGAAACUCUCUUAGUCUGUGAAGAGAGGGAGGGGUCUGAGGAAAGUAUUAAAGAGGAAAGGAUGAUUGCCUUUUGCUAAAACCAUGCUGUCUGUGUUCUGUUUCCAAGCUCAAACAGCUGCUUCAGCUGAGAAAAAGGGGGGAGGCGCAUCGGCCUCCUCCACCCCUUGUGUUGCAAACAGUCUAAUUUCCUGCUGCCGCUCUGUCCCAAGCCCAAAGAGAACACUGUUCUUGCUGCAAAAAGUUUCUCCGAACAAACGGCUGCUUUUCUUUUCUUCUUCUUCUUCUUUCUUCCUUCAACUGCUUGCAGUUGGAAAAGAGGAAAGAAAAUGGAGUUUGAAGGAAUGCGUGUGAUGUAGUUCUGUGCAGGGAAUUGUAGAGAAAAGACUGGAAGGAGAUGUGGACAGAAGGGAAGGAAUGUCUUAAGGAUUUUAGUUGGAAGUUGUUAAAAAGUUGAAAAGCACCUGUAAGUUGAAAAAUGUAAGCUGUGAUGUGGAAAGGUAAUAUGGAAUCACAGAUUGUUUUGUGGAUGACUGUAAUAACAGUUUGUUUUGUUUGAGCUACUUUCUUAACUGAGUUUUAUGGGUAAAUGAUUGUUUGCCCUAAACAUAUUUAAAAUGUUAUAAAAUCCUAUGUGACCCAUGUGAAAUUCCCUGUUUAGUCCCUUGCUCUGUGAAAUACACAAGACAAGCCUGUGUGUGUGUGCGCGCGUGCGCGCACACGUGUGUGUGCAUGUUUCUGAGCGGGAGCCUAAUGCUCUGGUUCUGUGCAGGAAUCCUCAUUUUGUUAAACUGCAAUGAUCUGGGGAAAAGCCAAAACCCCCAUCAAUCUUAUAACUCAUCCCUGAGAAGAUGAGGUUUCUGUUGUAUUUGUGAAUGUAUUCUAGUGACAUGUCUUUUCCUGUAAACUGUUCCAGAACAAACUUGCUCUGACAUUGGAUUCCAAAAUUUGCAGUUAUUAUAUUAAUUGAACAUAAAAUUGGUCGUGGCCUGAGCAACAGGGGGAACUUUCAGCAGUCCCAGCUGGCCACCUGGGGUGCUGACGUUUUCCUUCUUUGUGAGUCUCCCCCCACCCCACAAAAGGGAGGUGCUGCUUAUGGCUGGCUAAAUGCAUUAGGCAUAAGUUGAUUGUGUUAUUUCUGCCACUACUGAAUGUCAUAGGACUUUAUAUGUUAUGCUUACUGAUUUCCUUGACAUGGUCUCUCUUACCUAUUUUCUGUUAGCUCAAAACUUUGCUCUUUUCUCUAACCGGACGUUUUCCCUUUUACUUUUUUCUCACAACUGUUAACUGACCUCUGGUGAACAAUGAUAACUCCGCCCAUUUCCGGAUGGGAGGAGGAAGGAGGUUCUCUGUAAAGCAGUUUGUGUUCCAGCCAGUUAAUUGUGGGUGAGAAUUAAAAAUAGGAUUUGAAGAUAAAUUAGUCUAUUUGUUUUUUGUUUUUGCAAAAUCUAUGCAAUAUUUCUGCUAACUUUUUGAUGUAAACUGAGAGCUAAUAAUCAAAUGGUCUAAGGCUUAAAUUUUAAAUUUGUCUCAUCUGCUAGCCCUGCUUUGCCUUCACAGUAGCUGAAUCCCAGUAGCUGAAUGAUGAGAUCCCAGAUUUGAGAUUUGAUGAAAAGAAUUUUGUUUUGCCACUCCUGCAAGUGGAAGGGAGUUCCAAAGUACCGGUUUGCAUUUCACCUGGAAGACUUCCCAGUUUAAAAGGAUCAAGCUUUGUAUGUUACUGUGAAACCCAUACCCUGUUUUCACAGCUCCUGAUGAGAGACUUGACUUGAUUAUCACAGGUUUCACCCCUCUGCAAGAUUAUGGACCAUUUUUCUGAUAACACCUUUUGCUAAAGAGGCCUGUAAAAAGGGACACUUUGAUUUGCUUCAUGAGACAUUAGGCCUUGCCCAGAAGUCUCAAUCCUAUUUCAACAAGGUAUAGUAUUUUUGCCUGGGGGCAGGGACUUUUUCUUUCUUAUAUAGGCUUCUCAUGAGGAUAUUGUUACCCUACAAGGAUGUCAAACCCUUACUCAUUGGUCACUUGCUAGUUAUGAGGCUAAAGAUGGAGAGCUGGAACACCACAACUAUCUACACAUGACCUAGAUGAAGAUCCCAAAGCCAGAUGUUACUGACGAAUCACCCCUUUAUGGAGAAUAAAGUCAGGGUUGUUGUAAGGAGGAAGAACAGGAUACAGAAGAGACUGUGAGAUGCCACAUGGAAACAGAACUUUGUCAGCAGUUACACCCAAAGGGCCUUGGUGAAAUUCAAGCGCUGGAGUUCUAUGUUGCAGCCUCUCGAGUGAUAAGACUAUGUUUGACCUGUCAGGCAGCCCUGUCAGGCUUUAAUGCUUCCUCAAAACCCCAAAAUCAUGAGGGGGGUGAAAAUGUGGAUGCCCUUUUUCCUUUUGACUUUGUUGCUUUGCCUUUUGCCCAGGAUUGCCGUUUUGUCCUCGUGAUCAGAGACCAGCCUACAACACAAGCCACCAAGCCCUAAAUGCAGACAUUAUCCCCUGUUCUGGACUUCGGCGGGGAGAGGGGCCCAGGGCAAGAAGCGAAACAAAAACAUAAAUUGGAAAAAAUGCCAAAAGACCAAAUUGAAAAUAGCCUCAGGUCUUAUCCAUCCAUUGUAUUAUUUGCCUUGAAAACUUGACUUUUCCUUUUGUGCUGAUGGUUGGCACCCAGGGACUUAGUCUCAGGACGCUGUCCCUACAUGGGGGGAGGGAAUUGGUAACUCACUUGCCUGUCUUUCUCUCAAGUAAACAGGUUUGCAACCAACAGUGCCUUGAAUUGUCUUUCCGAGAAGGAUUGGUCCUCCCCAGAUUGAAGGAGUAUCUGGAUCCAACCCUGACCCAGGAGCACUAACCAGCAGCAGCAGCAGCUACCCGAGGGGAGUCCCUAUCUGCGUUUCCAGUCCAACCCAAUGGUGACAGAAUGUCCAUCUGCUGCCCUGUCCUGUGUUCAAGGAAGAGGGCCUAAUGCAAAGUCCAUCUUCCUGCUCCUGAGUGCUGUAGCAGAGGAAUAGACAACGAAUGCCUGAAGAGUGCCUGACAGCAAACAGGCAAGCCAAUUUGUUUACUUUUCUCUGGAGUCAUAUGUGCAACAGCAUCUCCCCAAGCCUUUAGUCACUCCUGUAAAGCCCUGGAACCAUCCUACCCGGGUAAGAUACCCUGCCAAAGACACUAUUUCAAAUUCUGCCAAAGACAUUAUAUCAAAUUGUCCACCGGGGGGCGGGGGGCAGUCAAGGCUCCCAAACACAUGAACGUUCAAGCUUGUCUAUGGACACUAGUCAAACAGGCCAAAACAACACUGAUCAGAGAACAUUUAGGAUAGCCAGAAUCCUGCAAUGUUGGACAAGAGCAUUUGGAAGGCAGAACCAAUUGAAGGACUAAAAUGACUUUUUAAAAAACCAAAAACCAAGGACUCUUAGUUUUUGGAAUUCUAGGGCUCUCCAUGGCCUCCUUUUGGCCAUGGCAGACUCUAGAGGACACUAAGGGGGGGUGGGAGUUGAUGACUUACAUCACUUUCUUGUAGUGACUAUGAGCUAUAAUUAUGUUGGAAACCCUGCUAUCCCCUGUGCUGUAAGGACAUGAACCUCACAUGCUUGCUUUCUGGUCAUUUCCUUAUUUGCUUCCCUGACACCUUGUGCCAAUCAUCUCAUAGUUUCACCCAGAGCAUCUACCUGCAAGUCUGCACCUUUCCCUAACUUACUGGUUCCUUUUUGCACUCUAAAGACAUUAAGCUAGCCCAAGCUUUACCUGCCAGUUUUCUAAGACACCUGUAUCCUUUAACUAAUGUGACUGUACAUGACUUCUCAUUACCAUUGCUUUCCAUGAGCUGAUAAUCCAUUAAUCACCAGAAGCACCUGGUUCCACAAUGCAAGGCUGUUAUUGAUACUUUAUUUGGGAUGGAGUUGGGUUAAGACAAUGUUGCUUGCUAUAAGUUGUAUGAUCUUUAUAUGUACACCUUGCUGCUAUGUAUAAAACCUUUUAUCUAUAUCAAAUCAGGCCGGAUAUGGGUGAUUAAGGAUAUGUGUCUUAAUUUAUGGAAUUAUACUAAUUAUGCUUGUAGCUCUAGGAUCUUGUAUGCAAUGUUUCUAGUUUUAUUACCAUGUGUACAGCCCAUUUAGCACCUACCAUUUCUGUAAAAUCUAUGCUUAGGCAUCCCAAAAUCACAUGUCACAAAUCCUUUAGCCACAUGAAACACAGAACUAUAUUUCCAAGGCAAAGAAGAUAAUUCUAGUUAUAGCAUGUAUUUUCUUUUUAUUGAUAGUCACAUGUUGCUGCUUACAAUGCAUUCCAGCUUUAAUCCAAAUGUUUAUGAGAACCUUUAAACCUCGCCAUAAUGUAAGACCUAAUUAUACAGCUGUACCUUUACAAGCCUUAAGACAUCCUGAAGAUUCAGGAUAGUCCAAUUUCAGGGGGGAAUUGAUCUGUUUAAAAAACCAAAGAAACUCCAUUUUGCCCAGAAGACCUUAUUCUAACUUAAGUAACCUGGCCCCCAAAAUCAGGGACAUCACUGCCUCUCAUGAUUAACAUCAUUAUCUCUCUCCAGCAAAAUUGUACACAGCUAAGCUUCACAUUGCUAGAAAACAGGAUCUAACCGAAUAAGGAAUAAUCACCAGAUGAACAAUGAAUCAUUCACAUGCGUACUACUUAGACCACCAUUUUAUUGCCACAUAUACUGUGUCAAGCGUGUUAGCACCAUCUUGAUUGUUUGUAUAAAUGUAAGGUGCACCUGUAACCAAACCUUAAUUGGUUUGAGAGCAUGAGCCUACUGAUUACCUAUUGCUGACUGCAGAGCAAUAAAGCCUCAAUUAAUAAUUCCCAA